AAUGCCAAUACAGCAAACAUGUCGGCGGUCAAUUGAAAAGUUGCCGCUAGUCGAAUUGUAGGUAGCGGGGUGCGUGUGUGUUUGUGUUUUAUGUUUAAACUUUGCGUUCAAGCCGCACCUUGACACGUUUAGAAGACGAGGACUCCACGAUAAGAGCCAGAAUAUUCGUUAUUAUCAGAAAUAAUGCUGAUAUCUGGGACUCAUGUCGGACGUCGUGUAUGAAGAGACAGCCACGAUGAUUGCCGCAGGGGAAUUGCAGUCGUUUGUCCCGUUUGGCCGUGAUCACUGCAAGAACCACCCCAACGCUUUCAACCUGCAGCUGCGGGAGCUGCAGCCCGCCUCAGAACUCUGGACGUCGGACUGCGCCGCCGGCCUGGCGGGCUCCCUGCAGGAGGUCAGCCUGCAGGAGAGAGAGCGGGAAAGCUGGCAGCUGAGGAAGGGCUGCAUGGAGGUCCCGGAGCAGGGUGUAGAGUUCGAAGAGGAGCUUUACUCGGCAGGGAACGUGGUGGUCUGGACCAAGGGUAGCCGGGCACACGGCUCGAAUGUUUACAAGGCGUUCACUGUGGACAGCCCGGUGGAGCAGGCCUUAUGGUGUGACUUUGCUGUCCCUCAGAGCAAGAAGGAUGAAGAACAGGUGGAGCACACGGUGUGCAUCGUCCAGAACGGCUGCAUCAACAUUCACACCGUGACCGGCAAAGAUUUCCUCUCGCCGCUGCCGUUCCAGGUGUCCAAAGCCUGGCCGACUAAGUUUGGACUUGUGCUUGAGCGUAAAAUCACAGCAGCUGACAGCCAGCUCAACCCCCCGGGCGAGCCACUUCCCUACUUGUUCAGCAUGCUGCAUCCGAUAGAUGAGGUGGCACCAGUGGUGUACAAACCCUCUGGUCCGUUUGACAGCUCUCGCGUGGAGUACAUGACCGAAUCCAGCACAAAGAUCGUCUUCACCUGCUGUCAGCCCUCCAUCAUCGUCACUUACGAUAGUGAGCAUGGAACACACUCGGUGUGGAGGCUGCGCAAGGUCACAUCUGAGGAGCGCUCCAUGGUGCUUAGUUGUCUCGCCGAGCCCUUCGCCGAACCUCUCGGCUUCCAGGCCACGGGCCUCCUCAUGUCACACCUGCGCAACCACUCCCGCUUGGACACCCCGUGUGGCAGCAAGGCAGCCAGGUUUAAUCCCGGCGCUGGAGCAAGUGGUGUCAUUGCUGCCAACAGCCCUCAUCACUACAGCACUGUGCACAGCCACCAGAGCAGAAUCCUCAUGUCCUCACCAGUAAUGCACUCCCGCGUCCAUUCCCCGGGUAUAUCCAAGAUGGCUGCCGUCAGUCGCGACCACUCUCCGGGCAUGGCGAUGCCGUCCUUAUCGGGCACGGCUCGCUUUAACACUACCCUGCACUCCUCGUCACCUGUGGGCCACCAUCACGGCAUGGCGCACUCGCCCAACAGCACCAUCAAUGAGACGGUGCCGGAGCCCAUCAUCCCAGAUCUGUGCAUGGAGCAGCUAUGGAGCGAGACGACUGUGUGCCACAGCCUGGACAGAGAGAUGAGCAGCCAGGCGUCCAAAGUGUUCCUGACCUCCGACCUCUGCGAGAACCGCUACCUCUGUUUCCUGGUGGAGUCGCACCAGCAACUCAGAUGUGUGAAAUUCAUGGAGAGCAACGACACGUCUCAGCUCAUCUUUGCCUCUGUGACGAACAUCACCGCCAAAGAUGCGGAGCCUUUGCAGAACAUUGAUGCAAUGCUGGUAUUGGAGGCCUGCGGCAGCCUGAUUCUCUACACGGGUGUCACCCGGGUCAGCCAGGUGUUUGUGCCCGGCCUCCUGCCAUCCACUUUCGGUCUUAACAACAACCGUGUCGGUCUCUACACGCCACAGGAGCAAGUUAGCACGCCCACUAAUGCAAGCAGCAGGCAUUUGCAAAGAAUGGACGAGGCUGCCAUGCCCUCGCCCGUGUCCGAUCCAAGGGGCCCAAACAUGAAGCGCCACGAAGCAUCUUUUUUAGAGGACUACACUUACCAGCAGGCUUUGCGCUACAUCCACGCCCUCCGGGACCCUGUCAGCAACCGCGUAACUCUGGAACUAAGUAAUGGCACCAUGCUGAGAAUUUCCAUCCCGGACAUUGCUGUCUCUGAGCUGGUUAGGAAAUGUCUUCAGGCCAUUCGUUUCAUCCUGCCCAAGGAAGCUGCCAUGAAGGUUUUGGUGAAAUGGUACACAAUUUACAACGCCCCUGGCGGCACAAGCCCCCACAGUGAGUGGAACCUGUUUGUCACUUGUUUCUUGAAGCUGAUGGGCUACAACACGGAGCGCCUGACCUGGACCCGAAAUCUGAAUUUUGAAGUGCCUCUCUCGCCGGUGAUUGCGGCUAAGAAAGCUCGUCCCUGUGAUGGAGGUUGUGAUGAGGAUUGGGAGUACUUGCUGGGAAGUCAUUACCACCGCCAGAUGGAUUCUCAUUCCGACGCCAAACCAGCGGCCUCUAGUGGCUUUAACGCCAGCGUCACCCCGGACGAUGAGGACCUCUCAUCUGCGCCGUCCUCUUCCUGCGUCUUAGACAACACGGCGCCCCUCUUCGUUCACAUUCCGGCCCUCUUCUACGUUCUUCACCUGCUCUACCAAGAGCUGCUGCUCAACGAAUUGCACCGAGAGAGGGCCUCGUCCCUGGUGUGUCUUCUGCAGCAGCUCGCCAGAGACCUGCAGUUGGAAGAUUAUGUGGAUCUCUACUGGAGAGACUACCCAUCAUUAAUCAAUGGAUUCACAGAGAGCUGCCUCAUAGACCAGUCUCUGAUUGGUCAAAUGCAGCAUCCGUCUUUCCUGCGUGCGGAACCUCCCUGCAUCUUCAGCUGGCUCAGUAGCUGCCUGCAAGGGGAAUCGGUCCCGCCUUUCCCCUCCCUGCCCGGUGUCUGCCACAGGCUCCGGCUGUUGGUUCUGAGUUAUGCUCUCUACAUCAGCGGUGACGACAAAGCCACCACAUCCAAUGUGUCUGAAUACUUGGUGAAGCUCUCUGCAGGCCAAAAGACCAGUGAGCAGCAGUACAAAAGACAGGCGAGCGUGAAUCAAGUCAAGUCGUGCAGCGGGAGUCUGGCUGAGCAGCUCGUGGUCUGGCUCACCUCGCAAGGGUUCACCCUCAAAGACUUGGAGUCGGUCCCUUUCGGCGUGGCUCUGCCCAUCCGAGAUGCCAUCUACCACUGCCGGGAGCAGCCCUGCGCCGAUUGGUCAGAGGAGGUUUGCCUGCUGAUUGGCCGGCAGGACCGCACCAGACAGGCCCACAACAUGACCCUGGUGAAAAGCAAAGCUUCUGUGAGCUCAAGUUUGUCCUUGGAACCUCCCGCGACCACAGAGGCCGACGAGGAGGAGGACGGAAUGUCGGACAUCAUUCAGGAGGUCACAGGACUGAUCUGGAGUCAGGAUCUUAGGGUCCAGGAAGUCCGAAGGCUUCUGCAGAGCUCCAAGCCAGUCCGGGUCUGCGUCGUUCAGCUCCCGGAGGUCUCGGACCACGAGUACAUAGAAGAGAAAGAGAACAAACUCCUUCAGCUGUGUCAAAGGACCAUGUCCCUCCCAGUGGGAAGGGGCCUCUUCACUCUGUUCUCCUACCAGCCUGUACCUACAGAACUUUUACCCAUCCCGAAACUCAACCUCACAGGUCGUGCCCCACCCAGGAACACCAUGGUCAACCUGAACAGCGGGAAUAUUGACGUCCCAGCCAAUAUGCCCAGCUGGCCCAGCUUCCACAACGGCGUCGCUGCCGGACUCAAGAUCGCCCCCGCGUCGCAGGUGGACUCGGCUUGGAUCGUCUACAACAAAAACAAGAACCAAGAGAUGGCCAACGAGCACGCUGGCUUCCUCAUGGCGCUGGGCCUCAACGGGCAUCUCACCAAGCUUGGGACACUCAACAUACACGACUACCUCACCAAGGGCCACGAGAUGACCACCAUCGGGCUUCUCCUGGGCGUGGCAGCAGCGCGACUGGGUACCAUGGACGUGUCCACCACCCGCCUGCUCAGCAUCCACAUCCCUGCCCUGCUUCCUCCCACCUCCACUGAGUUGGAUGUCCCACACAAUAUACAGGUGGCGUCUGUAAUCGGCAUCGGGCUGGUGUAUCAGGGAACAGGACACAGACACAUUGCUGAGGUUCUACAAUCAGAAAUAGGGCGACCUCCAGGUCCGGAGAUGGAGUACUGCACCGACAGGGAGUCCUAUUCCCUAGCUGCGGGAUUAGCUCUUGGGAUGGUCUGCCUCGGGCAAGGCAGCAACCUAAUUGGGAUGAGUGACCUGAACGUCCCAGAGCAACUGUAUCAGUAUAUGGUAGGGGGCCAUCGAAGGGCCCCAGUCGGAGCCAGCCGAGAGAGACAUAAAUCUCCCAGCUACCAGAUCAAGGAGGGCGACACUAUCAAUGUGGAUGUGACGUGUCCUGGGGCCACGCUGGCACUCGCCAUGAUCUAUUUGAAGACCAACAACCGGUCCAUAGCUGACUGGCUGAAACCUCCAGAUACUUGGUUCCUAUUGGAUUUCAUCAAGCCAGAGUUUCUUCUGCUCAGGACCCUGGCCAGGUGCAUCAUCAUGUGGGAUGAAAUACUCCCUAAUACAGAAUGGGUCAAAAGUAACGUACCACAGAUCAUGAGGGGGUCUCAUUCGGACUCACCAGAAAACAUCAACAUGGAGACGUGGAUCCAAGUGCAGGAUUACAUCACAGCCGGAGCUUGCAUGGCGCUCGGCCUGCGAUUCGCCGGUUCCGCCAACUCGGAUGCCUUCGACUGCCUCUACGACUUUGCCAAGAACUUCAUGAGGCUUAUGUCCUUCUACGGUACAGCCGCUGCGGAGCCGGGCUGCUACAACAUGCAGACGGCGCUGUCCAUGAUCCUGCUGUCCAUGUCCAUGGUGAUGGCCGGCACGGGCAACCUGAAGGUGCUACAGCUCUGCCGCUUCCUGCACUACCGAACCGGCGGCGAGAUGAACUACGGCUUCCACAUGGCUCAUCACAUGGCGCUCGGCAUGCUUUUCCUGGGAGGGGGAAGGUUCAGCUUGAGCACAUCCAACUCAGCCAUCGCUGCUCUGCUAUGUGCCCUCUAUCCUCACUUCCCCUCACAUAGCACAGACAACCGCUAUCACCUGCAGGCGCUGCGCCAUCUCAUUGUUCUAGCCGCCGAGAGCCGGCUGCUGGUGCCGGUUGACGUGGACUCCCUUAAGCCUUGCUACGCCCUCCUGGAGGUCACCUACAAGAAAACCGACUGGUACGACGAGACCACGGUGGAGCUGAUGGCUCCGACCAUGCUGCCUGAGCUGCACCUCCUCAAGCGGGUUCGAGUGAAGGGGCCUCGUUACUGGGAACUUUCGAUUGACCUGAUCAAGGAAGUGCAGCACCUCAAGUCGGUCCUCUCCAGGGACGGCGUGUUAUACGUGAAACUCCGAGCAGGGCAGUUGCCCUACAAGGAUGACCCCCAGGGCUGGAAAAGCUUGCUGGGCUCCGCCGUCACUCAGCGCAGCUCUGGAGUCCGAGCCUUUAAGCUCGAGGCCAUCUCCACCUUCACCUCCGAGCCGGCCCUGCUCUCCUUCGCCGAGUUCUUCUGCAAGACGUCGGGCGGAGGGAAGCACCGAGAGGAGACCGUGGAGCUGUUCUCAGCCAUGUUGUACGAGUGCGUGACGCAGGAGUGUCCGGAGAUGCUGCCCACGUACGUCGCUAUCGAGCAGGCGGUGGGCGCUCUGUGCCGUGGUGAGCCGCAGCACAGUUUCGCCCUGUGGCAGAUGCGCCUGGUGGUGGAGCUUUGGGACAGCAGGGUGCUCCAGCGGCCUGCCCACGGCCGUGACGCGCUGCUUUCCUCGGAGUUUUUACCUGUCAUGAAGAACAAGGUGGAUGUGGUGCUGGACAGCUGGCUCAAAGACAACAGCUCAGCGUUGAGGUCCUACAUAGGCAGAAAGGCUUUCCCCGAUGGUCCCGGGUCCCCCAUGUUGGCUUGCUUCCUGGUCUACCGCUCUGUCCCCUGCCUCAGGAACAAACUGGCGCAGCUUCAAGGCUGCACUUCACUCGGGCACUUGUUGUCCAGCAGCAGCCGGUUGGGAAUGCCACUCAGAGACCUGCUCAGGCUCGCUCCGGUCCUGCUGGAAACCGAAACCAGGCCGCAGAUGCUCCUUGGUUCCCCGUUGCUCGCACGCUGAACCUUGAGCUCUCUCAAAAGCCUUAUACUCUGUUCACACAGCAGAGAGACAGGAUGGCCUUUCUGCAUGUGUUGCAGGAAUUCUUCUCCAGAAAAACAGAAUCAAGUUUUUCUACUUUAUUCAGAUGUUGGGGUUGAAAAGAAAGUAUAAAUAGCAUUUCAAAACAAAAGCAAGGCAGGUAUGCACACUAUGUUGCCUUUCAUUUUAUUAAUAGCUUCCUCUUUUGAGUUGAAAACUAUUUCCAGUACUAAGCCUUGCGCCACGCGGUUGGCUCAUUCUUCACAUUCUUUCAUCACAUGUUGCCUGGAUGUUUGAAAAGUAAAAGUGUUUGUGCGAUCCAACGGCAUUUUUUCUUCUUCUUGAGCUGUGUUGUUAUUGGCAAAAUAGUGUUUGCCUUGAAAAGGUAAUCCGGUUCGCCUUGCUUUGGAAUGCCUGACCUUAAGCGAAGAAUUCUCUCGAGGUUGCCUCCACCCUCCUCCAUACCAACCAACAAUAAUCAUUAUGAUCAUAAUCAUUGCAAUCACAGCAACCCUUCUUCCUGUAGACGUGAAGCCGAGUGCUCGCUUUGAGCCGGGCAGUAAUGUGCCCGGUCUUUGUUUUCUUAACAAACCGAUGUGGGAGUUUCACUUGUGUGCUUUUCU